ensembl:lncRNA
GGGAGAGAGCGAGCGAAAGAGCGAGGCAGUAGGUAGGACAGAGCUACAGCGCGCUGGUCGGCUUUAGCACACACGCAGCGGGAAAGCUAGCUGAUUGUUCCGGACUGCGGCGAACUAUCGGAUGAUAAAAUAAAUAAAUUAAUAAAUAAAAAACAGGAUUAAAAGCUUGUUCCUCCCCUUUUCUCCUUUUUCUCCAACUCAACUUCGGCUAAUUUAACAAGCUCCAUGUCCCGGAAGUGAACUCAGAUAGGACGGCUUUCACUGACUGGUAAGACUUACAUGGUGUUUAAUAGUCUUGCGCGUGAGAUAGCUAGUCGCUAAGGCUAACCGUUCUUAUCGUUAGCCAGCGAGCUUAGCUUAGCGUAGUGUAUUUGUAGAACAACAACAAAAACAACCUAACACGCUGUAGAAGUGCUGUUUUAGUCUGACUUCCUGUCAGAAAACUGUUUAAGGUUGUGUUUGUCGUCUUCGGGUUUGACUGUCAAAUUAAAACCAUGUCGAUAUUUUUGUUGUUGUUGUUUAUUUGAGUCGCGAGCGCUUGUGUACCAGCUAGCUGGCCGUCAAUAAUAAUAACAUGAACAUUAAGAUUAACACACGGCUAUCAGAUGAAACAAACCCGACCUGUAGGGUUUAUCUUUAAAGUCUGAACGCUAAUAUUAAUCAGAAUUCAGGGUUGUAAAUAAACUCGGAGAGAUACAGACACUGCUUACACGCUCCCCGGCGUCCGGUGUUCACCAGUUUGUGUGAAAACCGCGUUAAAAGCGUAAAAAAAAACCCCCACAGGUAGAUGUGGUGAGUUUAUUCGGAUAGAUUUGAGUAAUUAGCUGAUCCGUGAAUUAAAAUGUGUCAAACUGUGACGAUUUACAACUCGCAGAAGUAAACAGUGUACUCUCUGUGUUUGUUCUGAGUGUACUGUGUGUGGUGUGUGUACUCUGUGUACUCUGUGUGCUGUGUGUACUCUGUGUACUGUGUGUAGUGUACUGCGUGUGUUGUGUGUGUGUGUGUGUGUUCUGAGUGUACUGUGUGUAGUGUACUGCGUGUGUUGUGUGUGUGUGUGUAGUGUACUGUGUGUAGUGUACUGUUUAGUGUACUGCGAGUGUUGUGUGUAGUGUACUGUUUAGUGUACUGCGUGUGUAGUGUACUGUGUAGUGUGUGUAGUGUUGUGUGUGUAGUGUUGUGUGUAGUGUACUGUUUAGUGUACUGCGUGUGUAGUGUACUGUGUGUGUGUGUGUGUAGUGUACUGUUUAGUGUACUGUGUGUGUUGUGUGUGUAGUGUUGUGUGUGUGUGUGUUAGUGUGUCCUGUGUGUAGUGUACUGUGUAGUGUACUGUGUGUUGUGUGUGUAGUGUUGUGUGUGUGUGUGUGUGUGUGUGUACUGUGUGUAGUGUACUGUUUAGUGUACUGCGUGUGUAGUGUACUGUGUGUUGUGUGUGUAGUGUUUGUGUACUGUGUGUAGUGUAGUGUGUUGUAGUGUGUGUGUAUGCACUGUGUUUAGUGUACUGAGUGUACUGCGUGUGUAGUGUACUGUGUGUUGUGGUGUGUGUGUGUUGUGUAGUGUGUGUGCAGUGUGUGUACUGUGUAAGGUGAGGAAUAUCUGUCAGGUCCCUAUGAGGCAUGUAGCAUAUUAUUCAUUUAUUAUUACCUGCAUUGAUAAUCAUGUAAUUAAUGUAGAUGGAAAGUCUUUACAAGGAUAGUCAGACGUGCUUGUGUGUGUGUGUGUGUGUGUGUGUGUGCGCGCGCUUAAUAUCUCAAAGGUUGUGUCAGGUUUGAGCAUCAGCCAGGACAUGAGGAAAGGUUUGUUUUUGCUUGUUUGUUUGUUUGUUUAUGAGAUGAUGUCAUUUUGCUUCCCGAGUUGCUGGUUCGGGUCAGAUUUAUGUAGCAUGUGCUUAAUUGCUUGCAUUACUACAAUGAUGUUAGUAAGACAUCUAGAAAGUGUGUGUGUGUUUGCGCAGUGUUGGUGUUUGUAGUGCUGCUCUUUGUUUUAGAACUGUGUGUGUGUGUGAGUGUGUGAGAAAAGCAACACCAGUGACACGACUAGGACGUGAUCAACACAACACUGUGUGAAGCUCUUUUAUCUUGUACAGAGUCCUGUCUGUUGGAGAUUAGAUUAAAGUCACGUGACGUCGCCGGGAGGUUAUCUAUAACAUCGACAUCGCGACGAAUGAUGGCGCGAUACACUUUUCCGGCAGAGCGUGCGGUUGUCGUGAUACCUUUUUAAUGACGUUUAAAAAGACCGCAGCGAGUAAGCUGGUAAGAUCUAGUACCGAACGCUAAAAUAAUUUAUUAUAUUACUUUCGUACGAUUUAAAAAAAAAAAAAAAGUACACUACCCGUCAAAGGUUUAGACACACUCAUUCUUUAUUUUUAUUUUAUUUUCCCACAUUUUAGAAUAAUAAUAAUAAUAAUAAAGUCAUCAAAUCUCUGGAGUAACACAGCUGGAACUUUGGGAAUUAUGCUGUGAUAAAAAAUCCAAAAUAAAUCGGAAUAAUUUAAUAUUUUAUCAUCUUCAAAGUCGACGCCAUUUUCGUCUAGAAUUUCCAGGAAUGUAUCCUCGGCGUUUUCUCGAGCGAUGUCUUGAGGAAUUUCCCCGAGAUGAUUUUUAAACAGUAUUAAAGGCGUUCACGCCGACGCCGGACUCUUAUCUCCUGCUUUUCCGAAUAUUUCUCUCCGAGUCGUCCGUUUAAAUAAGAUGUUAGUUUUCUAAUGAAAGAAACGAACACGUCGGGACGAUUAUAUUUUUGUCUGCGACGCCGAUUUCACACGUUUAAUCACACGCCUUCAGAUCAGAAGCUUUUUAACAUCGCGAGAGAGGUUUCAGUCGAGCGUCCACAAACUUUUGAUCCAUAAUGUGUGUGUGUAUGUAUGUAAUUAUAUGUGUAUGUAUAUAUAUAUAUCUGCCAAAUGCUGUAAAAAUAUAUGGUGAUGCAUAUCGAGCGUGGUAGAAAUGUUUCGCGAUAAGCUAAUUUUGUCAUAUCACCUUUAAGCGGGUCUAUAGCCAAUGGAUACAAAUGCAAAUUUAUGCUAAUUAAGACACCUUGGUUCGCUAAAGUAGAAAGAAAAGUGGGCUGUUUGUACAGCGCUGCUGAAUUGUGAAACAUUCUUAAGUUGAAACUCCUCUUAACUGCCUUUUUAUUUUCGAACUUAAGAAAAAAGUUAAUAUCGUGUAUUCCCAAAAAUUCUUCUGAAGAAUAAUGUUGUUGUUGUUUUUUUCCCCUUCUUAAAAUUGUUCACAAGACACAACUUAAGAGCAGUUCAAAUGCUUUAAAAAAUCAUCUUAAAUAAUCAUUGUGAGAACUUAUCUUAAGAUUUCCUCUAUAUCCGGUUCCUGGAUUCUGAUUGGCCCAGAAGGAAGGCGGUGAUUCGUUUUCUACGACUGCGAAAUCCAAUCACGUGUUGGUCAUUACAGACGCGCUCGCUAUAUUACCAUAUCGUUUCUAUAGUAACGACUCGGGCGGGUUUUAAAAUCGUCGAGUCUCCAGCUUCGGCGCUUUGUAACAGGACGGAGGAGAACGCUGAACGUAGCUGUAAACGGAUAAAAAGUAAGACGUAUCGUUUUGCCACGUGAUGCACGACCAUCGCUCGUGUUUCACGUAAGACGGCGGAUCAAGAGGCGAGAUGGUGACGCUCAGGUCGCGUGGAGUUGUAUACCUGUUAGAAGACCCUCUCGGAGACCCACGUACAGCGGCUUUAACUCGAUCCGCGCGCGCUGAGACGCGGAUAUCCGGCGUAAACGGAGCCGCCAGGGACGUCGCCGCUCUACGCAAACGCAUCUUACACACUUGACGUUCGCUUUAUAAUCCCCUCGGGUUAGCGCGAGAGCUGCCUCUUUCUUUCCUUCUCCGUCAGUCUUAGCACCAUGAAACGUGCUCCCGUCGAGGAAAUACAUAAACGACACCGUGAGGAAUCCAGCGCGGUGCAAAACGCUGGGCACACAUUCCCAGAAUGCAAUGCAGCGCAGCCAAACGCGUUAAAACGCAGACGAGACGAUGACGCUUUGGAAAGCUGGUCCGUUCGAGCAGAGAGUGCAGCCGAGGAAGAGAAAGGACUGAAGCGCCGCUGCGUCGCAUCACGCGCUUUAGGUAGAGAUGAAGCGAGGGCUUAGGGUGUCUUUUCAUUUCUAUUUGUUUGUUUAUUUAUUUAUUUAUUAUAAACACUUCUAGAAAAUGAAGCUCAGAGAACGUGCAUCAAGGUGUGUUUUUCUGAUUUUUAAAAAAAAAAAAUUUAUCGUUGCGUUUUUAAUCAAUUUAUGAAGCCGCCGUAAACGUAAUCGUUACACAUCAUCCCGUAAUCGUACACCGUUAUCGUAUUUUGUGCAGGAGAUUAGCUUGUUUUAUUGUAAAUAAUAACAUAAAUACAUAAUAACAGAAUCCAGCUUCUGGGAAACGAGCAAACGAUCGAUUUCGGCAAAUCGACCGUCGACUACAGACGCCGCGUCGGUCGAUUCCACCGCGGGUUCUUACCGACGCGCUCACAACGCGGAAACUCGCGCUCGUGAUUCCGACUUCGUGGCGGCGCUCAACUCGUAAACACGAUCUUUCUGACGUGACUCGAACGCGCCGUACUCCUUCGUGUUCAUUUGUCCGAGCCGAACGAGGAACUCGGCGUCCGGCGUUUUCGCGGGCGUGACCGACGCGUCCUGUUCUGGCUUGGUUUUUAUUCCGUUAUUUAUAUGUAUUUAUUUUUCUCCGUGAAACGCGGUGAGUCAUCGUUGAGCUCUGUCACUCAGAUGGAGUUGUCUAACACAGGGGCAGGAUUAAAGUUGUCGCUUUUCUCCGAGCUGUAAGUGUCAUCAUCUGAUCAUCUCCCUUCUGUGACCGAAAAGCCAUCCGUGUAGGAUCUUUUUUUUUUUUUUUUUUUGGGGGGUGGAAGGAAAAAUCUCUCCAUGCUUUGUUUUCUCAAGCGUUUAUUUUAACGAGAGUGAAUUCUAUCGCUUGCAGUCUGUUCCAUUCCUGCUGCCUAACGUGCGUGUGUGAGAAGGUGACAGCACGCCUUCCCGACUUUGCCAGCGAAAUCUGCGUCACGCUUGUCGUGUUUUCCACGGUACCCCGCGGCGAGGCGGAGAGCGCAGCGUGAGCACCAGACUGGUAUCUUCGCGGGCGGCGUUCCCUCAUCCUGCCACCUGCGCCUGUACCGACCGGCUUAGCGCAGAAAUCAUAUUUCCACGUCCUCACAGGUGUACGAAGCUGGAACGGCACGCUCGUGUAAAGCAGCGCGUGCGCCGUGCCGAUUAAACGCCGACAGAAGCCCCCGCAGAAGAGUGGAACGAAUCCAAAACGAGAUGUUCAGCAAGCACAUACGAGCGCGCAUACUUUUGCCCGUACGGCGCGUCGGACACCCCGACGAGCGCCCGCAGACCCUGUUUACAUUUACAUCCCGCGCUAGAAACAAAACACACGCGGGACCGCGUCGGUAACGCUUAAACCCGACCGAACGCUCCGGAACAUGUUCACAUUGCGCAACCGAAAACCCUCCCACCGCCGAGCUUUUCACAAAACACGGCAGCCGUUUAUAAAUACGUUUACGUUUAAUACAAGUCGGUGCGGCACUUCUUAUCAUCUUCGAGCUCAGCUAUCAGAUUUCAGUGCGUCUAACCGGAUCCCCCGUCGUCUACACGCGCACACACACGGGGUUCUAACCUCAUCAGAUAUGCGUGGAACGGAAAGUAUUUAUCAUCGACCAGGAAGUGUUAUGUAAAAAAUCUGGUAUUGGUUCACGGUGUAAAUUCCUGCAUCAGAGUAGAUCUUGCGCCGACGAAACAUUAAAAAACACGCAGCAGGGCCGAGGCUUCACAGGAAAUGAGGCGAGCCGUGAGAUCGCAAGCUGAUAUUUUGCAGCGUGUUUAUCUUCACAAACCGUGAAAAAGACCAGGGCAGGGCAAACGUGUGUGUACCCCGAAACGUACCUGACAUCGUGACAUCACAGUUUUGAUAUUAUAAUAGACAUGGCCCGAUAUCACUAUUCUUUCUUUAACCCUUUCAUAAAUGAAUGGUUUGUGAGCAUAUUGAGAAUUCACGACAUAUGGUGUGUGUGUGUGUGUGUGUGUGUGUGUGUGUGUGUGUGUGUAUAAACAAAGUAAAUGUAUUUAAGGUUGAAGGUGAAGGUGAUUUAAGUCUUAUAUGUUCCUAAAAUAAAUAUAGGUUCAUUUAAAGGACUGUUUAUAACGCACGAAAAGAUUGUUGUUUUUAACCGAAGCACUUCAUUUAAAAAUGUAAGAAAGGGGCGUUCUCUUCUUUUUCUGUGUUUACUCCGUGAUUUUAUUUCCGUCCUGCGUCGGCCACGUCGGGGGUCUCCUCCGUCCUCCUCCGAGACGAUUAUCUGUUUUUCACUAGACUCGGCACUCGCCGGACAGUUCCUCUGUGCAGAUGUGGCCUGGCGUGGGAAUUAAAGAGGUCUGACCGCUACCGCUCGAAGUAUUCCGUGUCGCCGUGCGCGUAUCGCCGCCCCGCCCCCUGAUAUCAAACACUUCCCGGAUGGCGUAGGACACUCGUACGGUUUGUGAUUAUGAGUCGUGUGUUCAGAUUGCCGCCGGAAACUUUGUUCUCCUCAGACGGGAGUUUCUUCUCUACUCCGGCGUCAAUACGGUCCGAAUAGGGCUUUGACACGUGCUUACACAGCUUUCACACAAACACAAAAGUGAGAGCGUGGUCUGUUUUUAUACAGUCACAAAACAUCUGUUCCGGACUUUUUUCAUCUGUCACAGCAUCGGAUCCAGUUCAUCCUUUUCUUUUUCCGCCCGAUAUCAAUCCUGGGUGUCGGAUUUGGUGCCCUUUUCGGAUCCGGUCUCCUCUUGCGAUUGUACUUCUAUUGAUAAAUGAUUCAUCCAGAGCUUCGAAUACCAGCUGUAGCUUGAAAUGUUAAUGCGCGCAACACACACACACACACACGGGCUCUUCCUGUCGACUAGUCCCGGAUAAAACCUCUAGAACCUUCUGCUUUGUGUCUGGCUGCCUGCCAGAUGAGCUUCACAUUUAAUCUCUCUGUGUGUGUGUGUGUGUGUGUGUGUGUGUGUGUGUGGGCUCAGGUUCAGCCGGAGCGGACUCUAGGCGUGCAGCAGGGCUGAAAGAUGUGCGAUGGGAUGGCCACGCGUUCACACGCUCUGGUGAUCGUGGCACUGCAGCUGCUCCUCUUCCUCACCGCGCUCCCCGCAGGCCAGGCCUCAGGUAAGAGCGUCGCCUCUUCUUCCUCCUCCUCCUCCUCCUCCUCCUCCUCCUUCAUAUCGCCAGGCUCUGCUCAUCACUGCUGUCGGGUUCCUUUAAGCAGAACUCUCAACGUGUUUUCCGUCCAUCAGGAGAAAGCUGUUUUCCCGGGUACGAGGACAGCGGAGUAGAUCGAGACGCGUAUACGCGCGUAUAUCUUCAUAUGCGUGACGUUCUCGCGAAGGUUUUUGAAGUGAAACGAAACGAUGAACGCGUUAUCGAAAAUAAAGGAGCUCGAAAGGUCGAAUCCCGGCGACGCCACGUCCGGCGGUGGCUGCGCUGUCUGGGUGGGAGGGGCGUACUCGGUCUCCUCCGUCCAGUCGUUGGCGUCCGUGAGCCCGUGUAUGAGGAAGAGGGCCGAUAGCGCUCUCCUCUGAGCGCCACUCAGUGACGCAACGCAGAUGUGUUGUUGUUAUUAUAUUACCGUACGCCGGACGCCCUGAAGAUAUUUGCGUCUUAGAGACGGCGUGUGACUCUGAACAAGUCCUCGUUUGCGUUUCGUCCCGUCUUCUCCGGGUUCCAGGAAUUAAAUCAGCGUUGUCUUGUUUUCUGUCGGAGAUGUAGGUUGGGGGGAUGGUUUCUUUCUUUCGCAGUGUUCAGAGAGAAGCGUGCGCGCGUGCGCGUGUGUGCGUGUGUGUGUGAUUCCUUUACCUCCAGAACAAUCGACCGUGAUGUGUCCACCCCCCUCCUCCUCCGCUCCUCUCCACAGCUUUAUACAGUCCUGUGAACAGAGACAGAUGUCCUUGCAGCACGGCAGAUGCUGUGCUUGUUCCAGGGGUGUGGCGUGAUCCCUGAGUGAGCCAACGUGUGUGUGUGUGUGUGUGUGUGUGUGUGUGUGUGUGUGUGUGUAACACUUAAAAAUCGAUCUCCCUUUUUUAACGUGGCCGUGUUACAACAGCACUACUCGUGCGUGUCCAACACGCACAGACGCACAGCGUCUCCGGCACGUUUUUGUUUUUUACGUGAGUCACUAGGAACACUGCAUUAUGUGUUGGAGGAG